rnacentral:rRNA from 1 species
AGAGUUUGAUCCUGGCUCAGAUUGAACGCUGGCGGUAUGCUUAACACAUGCAAGUCGAACGGAAACGAUACUAGCUUGCUAGUAGGCGUCGAGUGGCGGACGGGUGAGUAACGCGUAGGAAUCUGCCUGAUAGUGGGGGAUAGCCCGGAGAAAUUCGGAUUAAUACCGCAUAAUCUAUUCGUAGUAAAGGAGGCCUCUAUUUAUAUGCUUUCGCUAUCAGAUGAGCCUGCGUAAGAUUAGCUUGUUGGUGAGGUAAAAGCUCACCAAGGCGACGAUCUUUAGCUGGUCUGAGAGGAUGAUCAGCCACAUCGGGACUGAGACACGGCCCGAACUCCUACGGGAGGCAGCAGUGGGGAAUAUUGGACAAUGGGCGCAAGCCUGAUCCAGCAAUACCGCGUGUGUGAAGAAGGCCUGAGGGUUGUAAAGCACUUUCAAUUGUGAAGAAAAGCUAAAGGCCAAUACCCUUUAGCCUUGACGUUAACUUUAGAAGAAGCACCGGCUAACUCCGUGCCAGCAGCCGCGGUAAUACGGAGGGUGCAAGCGUUAAUCGGAAUUACUGGGCGUAAAGCGUGCGUAGGUGGUUUGUUAAGUCAGAUGUGAAAGCCCCGGGCUUAACCUGGGAACUGCAUUUGAAACUGGUCAACUAGAGUAUGGUAGAGGAAAGUGGAAUUUCUGGUGUAGCGGUGAAAUGCGUAGAUAUCAGAAGGAACAUCAAUGGCGAAGGCAGCUUUCUGGACCAAUACUGACGCUGAGGUACGAAAGCGUGGGUAGCAAACAGGAUUAGAUACCCUGGUAGUCCACGCCGUAAACGAUGAUAACUAGCCGUUGGGGGGAUUUACCCUUUAGUGGCGAAGCUAACGCGUUAAGUUAUCCGCCUGGGGAGUACGGCCGCAAGGCUAAAACUCAAAGGAAUUGACGGGGACCCGCACAAGCGGUGGAGCAUGUGGUUUAAUUCGAUGCAACGCGAAGAACCUUACCUGGUCUUGACAUCCUGCGAACUUUCUAGAAAUAGAUUGGUGCCUUCGGGAACGCAGUGACAGGUGCUGCAUGGCUGUCGUCAGCUCGUGUCGUGAGAUGUUGGGUUAAGUCCCGUAACGAGCGCAACCCCUAUCCUUAUUUGCCAGCACAUUAUGGUGGGAACUAUAAGGAGACUGCCGGUGAUAAACCGGAGGAAGGCGGGGACGACGUCAAGUCAUCAUGGCCCUUACGACCAGGGCUACACACGUGCUACAAUGGGAAGGACAAAGAGCCGCGAAGCCGCGAGGUGUAGCUAAUCUCAUAAAUCUUUUCGUAGUCCGGAUUGGAGUCUGCAACUCGACUCCAUGAAGUCGGAAUCGCUAGUAAUCGUAGAUCAGAAUGCUACGGUGAAUACGUUCCCGGGUCUUGUACACACCGCCCGUCAUACCAUGGGAGUGGGUUGCACCAGAAGUGGCUAGUCUAACUUUGUGAGGACGGCCACCACGGUGUGAUUCAUGACUGGGGUAAAGUCGUAACAAGGUAACC